CAUAGGACAGCAUCCUUUCAAUCAGUAUUUUUUAUAAAUUUUCAACAUAUAAAUAUAGUCGGAAACGAUGGUAGAUCAUCAGUUUUAUUCCAAUAGUAAAACAACAAUCAUCAUGCAAGUUCUGAUUUUGGCUGUUCUUGUCAUCAUGGCUUUGAUGAGUUUGGCGUCUGCAGUGCCAUACCCUCAACCAGUUGCUCAACCUAGCGGUGCCAUCCUUGUAGCUCCAGGUUUGAGUGGUGUAGUCUCCACUGGUUGGGGUCACGGAGUCAUCCUUGGUUAAAGCUACAUCGAAUCAAAAAAUGUUAUUUACCCAAUAAAAUACAUCGCAAUUAAUCGUAUUUUAUUAACCUUGCAUUUGAAAACAGAAACUAAACCUUAUUCAACCUAUUUAAAAAUUGCGUUAUCCUUAUCCUCAGAUAAAACAGUAUAAAUAGGAGGCUCUUAGAAUCAUACGCAUCAGUUUAUUGUCAGUUAAACAAUCAACUACGUUCAAAAUGAUGAAAUUCUUGCUUUUGGCUUUCGUCGCCUUGAUGGUGAUCGUAGCUUCAGCUGUAGCUGAUCCAGAACCACAACCAUCUGGUGUUGUUGGAGUUGGAGUUGGAGUGCCAGUUUUGGCUGGACCAGCUGUUGUUGGGGGCCUUGGCUUGGGACAUGGAGCUAUCCUUGGUUAAAUAGCGUUCUUACAAUAUUUUGAAAAUAUUGAUAAAUAAAGCGAUUAUUAUUAA